AGAGCGAACGCUGGCGGCAGGCCUAACACAUGCAAGUCGAGCGCCGUAGCAAUACGGAGCGGCAGACGGGAGAGUAACACGUGGGAACGUGCCCUUUGGUUCGGAACAACACAGGGAAACUUGUGCUAAUACCGGAUAAGCCCUUACGGGGAAAGAUUUAUCGCCAAAGGAUCGGCCCGCGUCUGAUUAGCUAGUUGGUGAGGUAACGGCUCACCAAGGCGACGAUCAGUAGCUGGUCUGAGAGGAUGAUCAGCCUCACUGGGACUGAGACACGGCCCAGACUCCUACGGGAGGCAGCAGUGGGGAAUAUUGGACAAUGGGCGCAAGCCUGAUCCAGCCAUGCCGCGUGGAUGAUGAAGGCCCUAGGGUUGUAAAGUCCUUUCGGCGGGGAAGAUAAUGACGGUACCCGCAGAAGAGCCCCGGCUAACUUCGUGCCAGCAGCCGC
rnacentral:rRNA from 1 species